UGUUUCGGCUAGGGGGCCAUCCCGGCUUACCAACCCGAUGCAAACUGCGAAUACCGGAGAAUGUUAUCACGGGAGACACACGGCGGGUGCUAACGUCCGUCGUGAAGAGGGAAACAACCCAGACCGCCAGCUAAGGUCCCAAAGUCAUGGUUAAGUGGGAAACGAUGUGGGAAGGCCCAGACAGCCAGGAUGUUGGCUUAGAAGCAGCCAUCAUUUAAAGAAAGCGUAAUAGCUCACUGGUCGAGUCGGCCUGCGCGGAAGAUGUAACGGGGCUAAACCAUGCACCGAAGCUGCGGCAGCGACACUGUGUGUUGUUGGGUAGGGGAGCGUUCUGUAAGCCUGCGAAGGUGUCCCGUGAGGG
rnacentral:rRNA from 1 species